rnacentral:snRNA from 1 species
GUCACAUGCCCUAAAACUGGAACGAUGCAGAGAUUAGCACGGCCCGCCACGAGGAUGAUGUGCAGAUUCUUGAAAUGCUCCUUAUUUUU